rnacentral:rRNA from 1 species
CCUACGGGGCGCAGCAGUGGGGAAUAUUGGACAAUGGGCGAAAGCCUGAUCCAGCCAUGCCGCGUGUGUGAAGAAGGCCUUCGGGUUGUAAAGCACUUUCAGUGGGGAAGAAAGCCUUGGGGCUAAUACCCUCGAGGAAGGACAUCACCCACAGAAGAAGCACCGGCUAACUCCGUGCCAGCGGCCGCGGUAAUACGGAGGGUGCGAGCGUUAAUCGGAAUUACUGGGCGUAAAGCGCGCGUAGGCGGUCUGAUAAGCCGGUUGUGAAAGCCCCGGGCUCAACCUGGGAACGGCAUCCGGAACUGUCGGGUGAGUGGGAAGGGAGGAGAGAGAAAAUUCCCGGGGGAGGGGGGACAGGCGGAGGGACCGGAGGGAAUACCAGGGGCAGAGGCGGCCUUAUGGACUAACAAGGCGGCUGAGGGGCGAAACCGUGGGGAGAAAACGGGAUCAGAGCCCCAGGUAGUC